rnacentral:lncRNA from 1 species
GAAGAAAACAUCUAUUGGCCAAAGAUCAACCUCUUUGUUGUAAUUAAUCAAGAGUCAAAGCUUUUUCCUAGGUCAUCUCGCAAGCAAAGAAACUCACUUUAAGUGGAGUCCAAGCAUUCCACAUAAUAACAGAUGGGAACGAUUCAAAUCUCCCUUCUUCUAGGCUAGAUUAAAGUGACCCUAACAAAGAAAGAUUUACUCUUUGCCUCUAACCAACACACCUUGUCUUUUACUGCCUCAACUACCCCCUUAACAAGUAGUUUUGCAAAGAAAGCUCUGCAUCCUCAAUCUCCCAAUUGUUUGGAUGCCUAGAGAAUCUACGAGUCCACCCACCUCCACCAUUAGAGUGAGAUCACAAGUCCGCCACCCAAGCCUCCUCAUGGUUCAAAGUAUUGGCCGACUUGUAUCUGCCUUGAACCUUUCUAUGUUGAGUCUGAUACCCGAUAUCAUCUUCAAUACAAACCCAACUAAGAACCGGUUAAACUCGGUUGACUCGGUCGAGAUUUUGAGCGGACUUGAUUGAAAUUACGAGUUGAAGGAGAAGAAGCAAUCAAAAAAUAUAUUUUUUUUUCCCUUUCAAAUCACACAAAAAGCAACCAAAAUUGAGAAAUCUCUAAAAAAAAAAAAUAUGAGAGUUCUCUUCAAAAGAAAAAAACUUUCAAGACCAUGACGGUGAAGGAGAAGAGAAGAAGAAAGCUUCAUGUCGGUGAUGUAGUUGUGCUGAUUGUCUGAUGAGAAACAUCACAUUCUUCCAUCGAUGACGAUCUUUGCAUUUUGGUGUUGCCUCUCCUUGCUCGAUCUCCGUUGUGUUUGCGGUGUUGUUUGGGUGUGCAUUGUAGAGAGGCAAAACUGCAAAUUGGGUAUCUUGUGGUGUGAAUAAGUGAUGUUUGGGAUUGGGAAUUGAAGAAAAGGGCUUAAUGUAUUGUUUUAUAUAAAAAUGAUUUAUUAUUUCGGAUGUUCAUAUAUUUGCAUCAAUUUACUUUAUAUGCCAAUGAUAUUUGGAAUUGAUUUGAAAAUUAUUAUUUUAUAUAUUAAAUAUGGUAUGAAUGACUUUAAUUUAGGUAAUGUACUAUUUUACAUGGUAAUGUUAUUAUAUAAGGUGUAUUAUUUUAUAUGCUAAUUUAUUGUUAAUAAUUUAUGAAAUCAUUUCGUUUAUUAUUAUGUUAAUAUAUUUUUAAGUUGAUUAAUUUCUUAAUUCAUUUAAUUAUAUUAAAAUAAUUUUUAUAAUUUUUUGAACUUCUUAAGUAUCUUAUUUUGCUUAUCAUCCGAUAUCGAACCGAGAUGCCGAUACCAAUGUGCCUUGGAACCCUCCAAGUUGAUGACCAAUACCGUGAUUUUGAAAUAUGAGUCUCCUUGGAAGUAGCUAAGGCAAAUAAAGAAGGAAAAAAAAUACUUAAGAUUCAUUGCCAUGCCAUUUAUCCUUCCAAAACUUUACUCUUCUCCCAUUGCCCACCGAGAAGGAAAUCCUGCAAUUAACUUGUCUCCCACAAAUUUCUUAUAACCUUCCAUAACCCAACACCAUAACCCUCGUUUACUUCCUUCGAACACCAACCCCUUCAACUUCCCCAUGCUUACCACUUAUAAUUUGUCAAAUGCCUAUUUCUUGAGGUUUCCUUAGUGCAGUGCUGCUGAAAUUGCACGUUCUGUUGAGGCUUACAUGGGUGCAUGCUCAUGCUUCAAGCUUGCCAGACACCAAAUGUGCAUACACGUACAUAAACAGAUGCACGCAUCAUAGAGUGGGAGAGAAAGAAGAAAUAGAAGGGGGUGGGAUGGGGAAAAGGCUGGGGCUUACAUUUUGAACCUUGUGAUGCAUGUGCACACACUGAGAAGCAGUACAAUGCUUAGAAAUUGGAAUGAGUAUUGAUCUAGAAAAAUAUUUAUUUUGCAAGAUCACAUUGAUGUGGUGCAGCACAAUAUUAUGAUAUAGUCAUUUUUGUGUCAUCUAUCUUUUAGCUCAUGCUGGACUGCAAAAUCAUUCAUCAUGCUCUCUGGUUCAUGAAUAGGUCUUCUAACUGGAACUGUUUCAAUCCAUGGUUUAAGAUUUCAAACCCAUCACCAUUUAGUAGGUUUAUAUUUUAGUUGAAUUGGAAAUAGAACUUCAUACCAGAUUGGAAUCUGAUGAUACUUCAUAGAAGAUAAUGUAAUUGUUUAUAAAAAUUAUAAUUUUUGAAAAGAUUUUGGAUAAUGCUUCUUAAGUAUUGAAAAUUUCGAAAGGCCUAAGAAAAUAGUGAAUGUUUUGACUUCACGUGCCGUGCAUCAGAAGCAACUACCUUAUGGUUUUUUACGAAUCUUAGAAAAAAAUGAGUAUGCACACAUGUAUAGAUGAUAUACAUGCUCUUUAUCUAUGUCCCAAAAUCUCUUUAUUAUUAUUUUUCAGAGAAACUCUUUAUUUUCCCAUUCUCAUUUGCCAGUUUUGCUCCUGUUUGUGUUUGUGUCUAUUGUUUUCUUUUUUCUUUUAACCUAAUGGAACACAAAUAACUAUAAUAAUAAUAAUGAUGAUGAUGAUGAUGGUAAUAGUAAUAUCACUCCUAGAAUCAUUCGUACCCCUAUAAAUUCUAAAUUUCUUUGGAAAAUCUGAUUUUUUCAGAUACUUGAAUUCCAUAUUGUUUGUUGCUUUAUCCACUUGGGUGAGUAAAGAAAAUUUUACGGUGCAAAGGUUGUGGGUUCAGGCUGUAUGGCAUGUCAAGAGUGAGGCAUGCUAACACACAGAAAAUUCACUGUUGUUUCCAACAUCUGGCUAUGUAACACAUAACUUUUAUCAUACUUAUCUUCCUACCUUCAUUCUUAUUUCAUGCAGCAGAUUGCAUUAACAUAAUUAUCAUUUGAAACUAUAAAUUAUUUUAGCAUAUAGAAUCAUAUGAUCAUGCAUUGCUUCCUUGAAAUCUUUAAUUUUGCUAUCAAAAUAAAUAAAUAAAAAAGAACAGAAAAGAAAAAUCUUUCUACAUUGCGCUUUUGUUUGGUCAGUGAGGAUGAUGCUUGGCCACAUGCUUCGUAACCAAAACAUACCUGGUCUAAGUGCAUAACUAGGAUUGUUGGAUGACUUUGGAUUUGGAUGCACGGAUAUCUCUUAGUCCAAUAAAUAAGAUGUAUCAUGGAACAUUAAUAAUCAGGAAUUUAUACUGGGUUCUCAUUAGGUAGAAUAUUUCACCAGUGAACUCUUUUAUUGUCUAGAAGAAUCCUAUACUUGGAGGCCUUGUAUACCACCCAUAAACUAUCGUUGUGCCUCCUACUUUUCUUAGGUGCCUUUAAUGAAUUUCUUUCUUGUUUGCCUAUCAAAAGAGAGAAAAAAAAAAGAUUGCUGUACUUGGGAUGAACUUUGACAUGUUUAGUUGCUUAGGGAUAUAAUCAUUUCUAUUAUGUACCAUUUGCACAUAAUAUAACAUUCAUCCAUCCCUUUUUCUUUGGAACAGCCAUCAGAAUGUAAUACAUAUGCAGACAUUGAUGCAGUAUAUAAAUGCCUUAAGGAGCAGUACGGGGUUAAAGAUGAGCAAUUAAUAUUAUAUGGUCAGUCUGUUGGUAGUGGUCCUACAAUUGAUCUUGCUUCACGUGUAUCAAACUUGAGAGGUGUGGUCUUACAUAGCCCAAUUUUGUCUGGGUUGAGGGUCUUGUACCCUGUCAAACGGACAUACUGGUUUGAUAUUUACAAGGUAUUUCCAUCAUACUAUCGUGGCUAGAUUAGUCAGAUAGUGGAGUCAUAUUUUUAUUUUUAUUUUUAAUUCUUUUCUCUUUACUUUUGUUUUUAUUUUUUAUGGGUGAUUGGGGCUCACUUCUUUGCUUUGUUCUUUUCAGAAUAUUGACAAAAUUGGUAUGGUGAGAUGUCCUGUUCUUGUAAUUCAUGUAAGUAUUGCUUGUUGUUUUCAUUCAAUCUCUCCUUUUUGGUUUCAUUUCAAAUUUGUUUUUUGUAUUCCCCUCAUUCUUAUUCUAUGACUAUAUGCAUUGUCAGAUAUGGGAUUACUGUUACUUGGCAUGGAAAUUCUUUCUUAACUUGAGAUAUCAUUGAUAGCAGCUUUGCUACUAUAAAUUGGGAAAGAAAUUAUAUUUGUUGAGAUAAUCAUAUUUGAACUUUCAUCUAUCAAAAAGAAAAGGAAAAAACAAAAAGAAGGCUUUCAGUUUUCAUGUGUUUCCUAUAUCAAUAACUUCAAAGACAAGCCCCUUUGCUUCAGAAGGAUAAAAAAUGAAAAAAGUUGGUCACUUGUAACAGGUUAAGAUGCACUCUAUUGUAUUAUUCCAAAAUUUAUGUGACCGUAUGUUUUGCUUUCCAUAGUGGUGGAUCACAGCAGAAAGUAGUUAAACUCCAAUUCAGAGAGUUUUCUUUGAAGCAAAUUCAGUGAUAAAGCUAGUAUUUUAUCUUCAGGGGACGGCUGAUGAAGUUGUUGAUUGUUCCCAUGGGAAGCAGCUUUGGGAGCUUUGCCAGGAAAAGUAUGAACCAUUAUGGUUAAGUGGAGGUGGACAUUGCAAUCUUGAGCUUUAUCCAGAAUUCAUUAAACAUCUGAAAAAAUUUGUGCUGACUAUUGGCAAAUCGAAGGCGGCCACAAAUGGUUCUAAAAAAACAGCAGUAGACUCUGACAGUCAGAGCAAGACAUCUGAAAGUGGAACUUCAGAUGCGUUUGAAUUGAGCACUGACCUUCCAGAAGCAUCUAGAAACAGUUUAGAUAGUCGACUUGAGAAGUCAAAGAAGACGAACAAGCCUGAAAAAUCUCGGAUGAGCACUGACCAUGUUGACAGGUUUAGGAGAAGAAAAGGCUUAGUCUGGUGACUCCUACACGAAGAGUGUUCUAAAUAAGUUUUUGUGCUAAUAACCACUUGAGAAGGUAUUUAUUCUUUGCUUGUGCUCCUGUAUGAUGCAUCAACUCUAAACAACAAGUGUUGUCAAAUUGAGUGUGACUCUUCAUAUGAAAUGUUCCAAGUCAUGUGUAUUGCUCAGAGGAUAAAUUGAUAAUGGGAAGGAGCUUGCAUCUGUAUUUCUUCUGUAAAAUUAAUAGUUUUGAACAUGGAAUAUCUUGCAGUUCCAUCAAUCAUGUUACUUCAAAUUUGUUGGUUCAAUCCUUCGAUGUUUCUUGCAUUCUGUGAUGGAAAACAUCAGACAAAUCCAUGAGAUCUUUACAUCAAUGGCCUCUAUUGGUUGUGAAGUCCUUCUCCGGUUCUGUAAAAUCCUACUUUUUCUUUAAUUUUAGCUAGUGAAGUAGAUAUAAUCAUUUUUAAUCACUUUAGAAGAUAUUAUCCAUAUUACCCAGGCACUUAAAUCUGAUUUGGUUAAUUGUCACUCAAGCUGUAUUCAGGCGAUAAGAUUUUCACCUUGCUUCCAGUCAUUGGUUGUUUUUGUCUGUUUCUAGUUCAUCUUUUUAACUUUAUUUAUUCAAAGUCCUCCAAUUUUAGUUUUAUUAUGAUUUAUUUUACUAUGGGUGCAUUAAAAAAUGUGCUAUUUGUUUAGAUGUAUUUUUAUUUUUCAAAACAAAAAUAGUGAAUAAGUUAUUUUUUAAUUAUAUAGAUAUUUUUAUUUUUAAUCUUAAAAAAUGUAAAGAAUAAUGUUGUAAAUUUUUUUAAAAAUAAUCCAAUUAUUUUUAAAUUGAGUUACAAAAUAUGUUUUUAAAAUAAAGAAUAUUCAUUCGUAGAACCCCAAGUUCACUUGGGGAUGUUAAAGAGCAUCAAAGCAAGUAUAUUUGAUUGGAAAACUGGUCUGGUUAACCAGGACUAGGGAUGGCAAUAUGGCGGGUUUGGGAUAGGUUGUUCUCAUUCCUUUCACAUCCAAUUUAUUGAAAAUAAUUCCCAUCCCCGUCUCAUUUAAAAAAUAAAACGGGGUGGGAUGGGUAUGAUAAAUUCUCAUACUCGUCCCGUCUUGUUCUGUUUAACUUUUUUUGAAUUUUAAUUUUUUUUAAAAAAUUAUUUUUAAAAUUUUUAGUUAUAUUAAAAUAAAUAUAUUUUAUAAAUAAUUAAAUUAUUAUAUUUUUUAUAAUUUAUUUUAUUAAAAAUAUUUUAUUAUUAUCUAUAUAUUAAAAAUAGUAAAAUAAAAAUUAAAUUAAAUUAAUUUUAAAAAUUAAUUUUAUAUAUAAUGAAGGCAGGAUGGGGUAGGAUAAGACAAUACCCAAACCAGCCCCGAGUUUUAAAAAAAUUUUCAAACCCAUUUAUUAAAAUUGAAUCCCCUCCCAUUCCCAUUGUCAUCCUUACUCGGACGGCACUAGCCUGCUGUUGUGGACGGCACUAGCCUGCUGUUGUGGAAGAAGAUGCCGUUUAGGUUUUGCUAAACCUCACGUACACGAAUGCACACGAAUUUUCCUCAUAAUCUUAUUUUAUCCUCCCAGUCUUGCCUUCUAGCAACGACCCGAGUCGUUGAAAGCGGAAUGGAAGAAGUUUGGUAAAUGUCAGUGUCCACCCAAAAUCAAAACAAAAUUGUGUAUUUUUUUUACCUAGUCAGCUAGUUUGACCAUGAUCGGCAUUGAAUGGAAUAGAUAAGGUUUAUCUCCUUCCUCUUUUGAACCACCCCAAAUUUACAUCUGUCUCUCCGAAAAUGCCUCCCAAUUUCUUCCCAGCUUAUUCUGUUUUCUUGAUGAUCAUGCUGAUCCCUGUUCCGAGGGUUGUGUGCGAGGACAAUCAACAAUUCGUCAGCUGCGGCGCACAGUAUGAGUGCGGGAAUAUGGUUAUUAGUUAUCCUUUCUGGGGAGGGAGUCGCCCUCCUUACUGUGGCCAUCCAGGGUUCGAGCUGACUUGUGAUGGUGAAGCCCCGGAGUUUACAAUGAAGGAGGCGAGUUACCGAAUCCUGGAUAUCAAUAACUCAUUCCAUACUCUCACCGUUGCUAGGGCGGAUUACUGGGAUAGUUACUGCCCUCCUACAUAUGUUAACACCACUCUGAAUGAAUCCAUUUUUAGUUAUAAUGCCACCUAUACAGACGUGACCCUCUACUAUGAUUGUCCCCAACUUACUAUCGCGCCUUCCAACCAGUUCAAUUGCACCAAUAUCACUGGUUACUAUACAACACUGGAUCUUAACCUUAGCGUAAGCCCCGGGAGUUGCGGUGUGUAUGUGACGGUUCCCAUUUUUCAGUCAGCAGCUACCGCUAUAGUGAGCGGUGGAGGUACACUGACUCUUCUUACAGAAGCUCUUAAGGGUGGUUUCGGGUUGGAGUGGAAUGCCAGUAAUAGUUUGUGUACAGAAUGUGUUGAAUCCGGUGGGCAGUGCGGCUAUACCUCCAACCAAUUCACAUGCUAUUGUCGGAAUGGGUAUCCUCUCUCCAGUUGCCAAACCACAAGAUCAGGUAUGUAUAGAAACAACUUCAUCAGAUAUAUAGCUUUCGUCUCACAAACAUGCAUGCUACCGUUCAUUCACCGAUCUCUUAAUCUGUGUUUGGUUUCCAAAAAUUUUAGGCAAAAUACAAGGAGAAAAGACUAGAAGGGAAGAAAAAUAAAACAUAAUAGAUUUUAAAUUAAUAAAUUAAUUUGUUACUUCAAAACCUUUAUACUUAUUUAACUCAUAUAUAAAGAUAAAUUAAAUAAUUUAAAUUUUAAUUAUAUUUGAUUUUUUAUUUUAUAGUAAUAUCAAACAUGGUAAAAUGAUUUUCCUUACACGUUGGGUUUUAUUAUAAAAGAAAAUAAAAUAUAAUUAAUAUUAAUUAAAAACUUAUAUAAUUUUAAAUUAUUUGUUAUUUAUAUAAAAAAAUUAAAAUAAGUUAAAUAAGUUUGAAAUAGUGUACAAAAUCAUUGAGUUUAAAUUUAUUUUUAAAUUUUUUUUCUUUUUACUUUCUCUUUAGUCCCUCAUUCCCUCGAAUUUUCAAGAGCCAAACUAUUUUUUUUUAUUUUUUUUUUCUUUUUACUUUUUCUCUUUAUUCCCCAUUCCCUCAAAAUUUUCAAGAUCCACACAUUAGCAAGAAAUUUGCAUAGUUAAAUAGAUUAGAAGUUAAGUCUUUAUCACUUUCCUCCUUAUAAUUGUGUUAUUUGUAGGCACCUUAGAUGCAGGUUGAUUUUGUUUUGAUAGGGAUGAUAGUUUUGUUAGUUUCUCGGGUGUCCCACCCCACCCCACCUCUAGUAGGAUGGGUAUGAGAAAGCGAUAAUCAGGGAUGAGAUGAAUUUGACAAGAAUUUCGAAACCUAAAUCAAGUUUAGAGCAAGUAUGGGUUUUAUACUAUUCUACCUCACCUUGCCCCCAAAUAUGAAUUUACAGAAUUACCCUUCAUAUAUUAGAAAAUUCCCAAAAUAUCGAUCAUAUAAAUAUUGUAUCUUUAGAAAUUUGCCCCUCUCCCCACAUAGCUCCUCUCCUAUUUUUUGCUUGGAUCUAUCAUUUUUUUGCCCUAAUCUUAGGUCACAUGGGAGAAUGUGAAAGGCCUAUAGGACUAGCAGAGGAGGCAUCUAUAAAAGUUCCCUUAGAAAAGCAUCCUAUUGAAGCACCCCAAUAGUGAGUUGUUGCUUGUGGUAGCGAGAUCGAUGGUAUUUUAGCUAUUGUACAAUGAAGAUGUUGACAUCAAUGGGAAUUACCACUUCAGAGCAUCUAAGAAGGUGAUGAGUUGCAAGAUCGAUUUGUGGGAGCCUCAAUGGUAGAUGAUGGAGGAUCUUUGGGAUUUGUAAGCAAUGUAGAGAGAAAAUGUGUUGAUGAUGUGAUUAAGAAUAUGUCCUCUUUUAAGUUUGGUUGGGUAAUGCUUGUGAUUAAUUUAGGAGAUGUAAAGUUGUUGGUGAAGGAGGAUUGGAGGGUUUGGAUCCUGCCAUUAGCAAGGUUAUAGAAUAGUAGAUCUUGGAAAGUAAAGGCAAUUUUCUUGCUUUUCCAUUGAUUUGGUUGGUUUCCGCGAGACCAAAGGCUCAGUUUGGUUGUUGGAAGAGGACAUGAAAGGGAAAUGCUAAUUGAAAAAGGCUCUCUUUCUUUAGUAUUUCAAUGGAGAAAUAUCGAUCCGACGAUAUUUCGGGAUUUAUCGCAAGAAAUCGCCGAUUUUUUUUCCCGAUAUAUUGUAUGGUCAAUGCGGGUCAAACGAAAGUGCGCUACUGUGCCCUCCCAUUUGCUUGCUGCCGAGAGGAUUUGAACCCCAAACCAAGAGGUUUGGGGUUCACCCGCGUACCACUUGGGCUAACUUGAAUUAUAUGCAACAAAUAUAUAUAUACUUAAACUCAUUAUAUAAAAAAAAUAUAAGAAUAUUUUAAAGAGCAAAUUAUUUAUAAUUAUUUUAUAAUUAAAUGCAAAGUCUUUUAAUUAAUUACCAAAAAUAUAAAAAUUAUAUAAUUUUCUUCAUAAUGUUUUUAAUAUCAUUAAUAAUUAAUUAAAUAUUAAAAAAUUAUAUAUAUAUCAUUAUUUAUUUUAUAUUGUUUAAUACAAUUGAAUUAAAUGGAUCAUAUUUUAAUACUAAUAUAUAUUUUAAAAUUAGACAUAUUAUAAUCAAAUAUCAUAAUAUUAGGUGUAAUUUAAUAAUAAAUGUACACUUAUAAAAUUCAUAUUUUUAUCGAUGCAUAUGAUAUUAUUAAAUCGUGUUAUACAUAUAUCAAAAUUUUUAAUAAAAUAACUUUAAAAUGUCUAUUAUACUUCUAAUUAUAUUAUUAUGAGGUUUUCCUAACAUUUUUAUGAGUUUUUAAUAAUUUUAAGCUUACCGAUAUUUUUUUCCAAAAUAUCCGCCGAUAUAUCCGUAAAAUCGAAGUACCGAUAUAUCCGUGAUUACUGAUAUUUUCAUCAUUGGUUGGUACUUACAACCUUUGAACAUUUGCAUACCCAUGUGUUCUAGGACUUCCUUAAUGGAACCUUUUUGUUUAUUUAUUUUGUAGAAGCAUGCAAAUAAGAAAAAUAAGAAAAUAAAUAAUGAAGCAAUCAUAAAAGCAUAUAAGAUUUAACAAGGUUUGUUAUAUGCUUAUGUCCAUAGAGAAAGAGGAUCAAUUUGCAAUACUCAAGUGAGUAGUUACAAUUUUGAAGCACUAAAUUACCAACAAAUUGGAAUAUUAAUUAAAACAAAAUUGCUAAAAUAUAAACAAGAUUUAAUGUCUUAACAGUUAUAACUUACUAUAAGUUCUGUUUAAUGUGUAACCAUAACAUUAAUUUUCUUUGAUAGUUAUAAUCAUAACUCUUUUUUUUUUGUUUGCAUAUCAAGGUUGUCAUUUCUAUUGAAUCCAUAUGCUAUAUGCAAUACACUCCUCUCCUUUCAGUAUGAUCCUUCCCAGUUUAGUUGCAGUUUUCCUUCUACAAGAUCUCAAAUAUUUUGGAAAACUUUUUAUAGCACAAGUUCUCCUUCUUGAAAUCGCCUUUCUUGUAACUUUUGGUUAUAUGAUGAUGUUAUUCCUUGCUGAUAGUCUUCAACUUUUAAAGUAGUUGCUUUGCUCUUCAAGUAAGUCUAGAUCUAGUUCCAAGGUCAUCGGGGUUUGCUAAUCGUCAAGCAUUAGUGUACCCAAUUGGUAUUAUAGCUUCGGGCCCAUAAGCUAGUGCGAAUGGAGUCUCCCAUGUGGCUGAUCUUGUUUGGUCCUGCAGCAUGCCCAUAGGACAAUCGACAACAUGUUUCCUUUGGCUUAACCUUUUCUUAAGAUAGUUCAACAAGGUCUAAUUGGUGGCUUCUUCUUGGCUAUUGCCUUGCGGGUGUAGGGGAAUACCUUAGAGGUCGACUAUUUUAAGGUCAUUGCAAAAUUUUUUGAAUUCUUUGAAAUUAAACUAGGCGUCAUGGUUAAUUAUGAGGAUUCGAGGUUUAUUGAAUAGAAAUACUAUAUUUUGCCAUACAAAUCUCCAUACAUCCCCCUUUUUUGUUUUUGAAUAUGCCUUUGCUUCCUCCCACUUGGUGUAAUAUAGUAGGUAGCUACAAGAACAAAUCCUUUUCAUUAAACCGCAACAAGUAGGGGUCCAAUCAUGUCUAGCCCCCAUUGAGUGAAUGGUCAAGGUACACUAAAUUGAUGAAGGUCCUAAUUCAUCUUCACUUCAAUUAGAACCUUCAUUAAUUUCUUAUAGGAUGUAUAUUUCUUCAAAAGCUUAUGUUUUUUUUGAAAUAAGAAUGGCAAACAUUUAGUGCCUUUUGAAUACAAUUUUGGUUUUAUUAAUUUAAAAAAUCAAUGAAUUUUCAGUUGUAAUUUUUUUAAAAGUACUUGAAGAUAUAAAACAUGUUUACUAAUUCAUUUUUUUUUUGUUAAAAAAAAAAAACACAUUUGAUAGUUAUAUGGCAACAAGUAGAAAACAAUCAUUUUUCUAUUUUAAAAUUUGUUUACAAAAAUGGUAAUAAAAUUUUUUGAUGACUUUAUUAUUAUUAUUAUUAUUUUAAAAAUUUGUUCUAUCAAAAUUUGAAAACAAGAGGUAAAAAUGGGUCACCAAACAUGUUUCCAAAUUUUGUUUUUACAUAUUUUAAUUAAAAAAAGAUUUGAAAAAUAAAAGUGAAGCCAAAUAUACCCUUGUUGGUCAAUUUCAAUUUUACGAUGGUUUUAUGCUUAAAAUUCAGAAAACAAUAUUUCAUUGUACUUGAAAUGGUUCAAUUUUUAGGAAAUUUAAUGUAAUUUUCAAUGCUUUUAUACGAUUUUCUAUGUAAUUUUCAUUUUUUUAAAAUUUAAUUGCGAGAGUUGAAAAUACCUCAUUUUCACUAUCAAAGAGGUCCUAAAUCUUACCAUGUCUAGGUGAUGGCCUAUCUGUUCUGUUGUUAGUAACAUCCUCUAGUUUGGUUUCUUUACAAUUUUAAGUUGUAUAGAACUCAUUUUCAUUUUAAGUGUGACUAAUUUUAUGUUUGUUUUACAUGAUCAGGCUCAAAUGUGCUGAGAAAGAUUAUUAUAGGUAAUAUAUAAUUUUGAAGUUCUAAAUUUGGAAAAUUAAUAUCUCCAUACUUGUUUUUACGUUUAAGUAAUAGUAUGAAUUCUUUGAACACAGGCAUUGUUGCAGGUGUGGCUACGCUCAUAUUAGUUCUUGCAAUGCUUGGUUGCCUUAGAAUAAUAAAAUGCCCAUUGGCGUGCAAGACAUUGGUCUUCUGGAAGAAGGAAUCAGAGGAUGAUGAAAAUGUGGAAGCAUUUAUAAGGAACUAUGGAUCAUUGGCUCCAAAGAGAUACAAUUAUUCAGAUGUUAAGAAAAUGACCAACUCAUUCACAAGUAAAUUAGGUGAAGGAGGAUUUGGUUGCGUGUACAAAGGAAAGCUCCCUGAUGGUCGCAUGAUGGCAGUGAAACUUUUGAGUAAGUCAAAGGGUAAUGGACAAGACUUUAUUAAUGAAGUUGCAAGCAUCAGUAGAACUUCUCAUGUUAAUAUAGUCACUUUUAUGGGAUUUUGUUUUGAGAGGAGUAGAAGAGCUCUGAUUUAUGAAUUCAUGCCCAAUGGAUCUCUUGAUAAGUUCAUCUAUAAUAGAGGAUCCUCUAAUGAAAGCCUGAACUUGGAAUGGAAGACCAUGUACCAAAUUGCAGUCGGCAUUGCUCGAGGACUAGAAUACUUAUACCGAGGUUGCAACACAAGGAUUUUGCAUUUUGACAUAAAACCUCACAACAUUCUUCUAGACCAAAACUUCAUCCCAAAAAUUUCUGAUUUUGGCCUUGCUAAGCUAUGCCAGAAGACAGAAAGCAUGGUGUCAAUGACGCACGCACGGGGCACCACUGGAUACAUAGCUCCCGAGGUAUUCUGUAGAAACUUUGGAGGAGUCUCUCAUAAAUCCGAUGUCUACAGCUAUGGAAUGUUGGUUCUUGAAAUGGUUGGAGGGAGAAAGAAUAUUGAUGUGCAAGUUUUCCAACUUGGAUUUAUAAGCAGCUUCAGCCAGGCAAGGAUCUUACAGUACUUCGUAGUAUCACCAAUGAAGAGGAGGAAGAAACAGCGAGGAAGAUGGUUUUAGUGAGCCUGUGGUGCAUUCAGCCCAAUCCAUCUGACCGACCAUCGAUUGAUAAGGUGGUAGAGAUGUUGGAAGGAAGCUCUCAUCUCUUAGAGAUUCCCCCAAAUCCUUUUAUGUUUUCUACUCAAAACACACCACAGUCCACAGUGUCAACUUAGAAAGAGAUCGUUAACAUUAUUGUUAAAAAAAAAAAAAAAAGAAUAUGAUUUUUCCCUGCUGGAGAGAGAGGAGCAAUGCCCACCAUGAGAAACAAAUUCAAAUAUCUCAACUGAAGCCCAACUCCAAAGAUUAGGUCGUGCAUAUCUUUGUAACAACUUUACAAGACCUUCAUCUCAAAUCAUCUGUUGCAGAGAAUCCUAAAGAAGACACAAUGCUACAGCGAAAAGGUAACUGAGAUUUGCUAAUUACUUUUUCUCAUUAGUCUCUUUAUGGUAUCAAACCAUCUUUAACUCACAUGAGUAUUGUUCUUCCUAUGUUAAUUAUUCAAGUAUCCAUAUAUUGAGGAAAUCUCAAAAUUUCUUAUUGUCUAUCUAAAACUAUGUCAUCCAACUAUUUAUUGUGUCUAUCGGUAAAUGAAAGUUAAGAUUUAGUUGGUUUCAUCACAGGAGGAACUCCAUCACAUGUGAGUGAGUUAGAUAGAGAUUAUCAAGAUAUGUGGCAUUAUGGACAUGUACAGAUAGACUAGUUAAUGCCUGGAUCACUUCUCUUUCUGAAGAAGCUCUAAAAUCCAAUUUUGGCCUUGCUACUUGCUAUGCUGUGUUGAAGGCUUUCUCAAAUACCUACAAUCUGGAUUCUGAAGCAUACUACACUUAACUCUUACAUAAUUGAGUUCAAGUCCACACUUAACUCUUACAUAAUUGAGUUCAAGUCCACACGUAACUUAAUGCCAUUGGCAAACCAGUACAUGCCUGUUAAGAAUCAGGUUUUCUGGCUCCUGAAUGGACUUGGACAACAAUUUGAAUAUUUUUUCACAGCUAUGCUUAAGGUUCCUGUUCCAUCUUACAAUGCCUUUAUACUACAAUGCCAUGAAUCAUAUAUAACAAAUCUCAAAGUUUCUAAGCAUGUGAAUCAUGCACUUGCCUUUGUUGGUUGGUUAUCGUUCAAACUGCAAGAAUUGACAAAAGGUCAAGUUUCAAUCCAAUUCUAGGCCUUCCUCUAACCAUCAUACAUCAUAAUUUCCCGUUAACCCUAAAGCGUACAAUUCCUAGUUCCUCGACUCUACUCCUAUCUGCUAUAAUAUUUGCAAAUUAAAAAGAAAGGUCAUGACGCUUUGGAGGCUUGGCAUCAUUUUGACCAAAGUUUUUAGGAUUAUUAUUAUAAUUAUUAUUAUUUGGCAUGGAAGAUUAAGCCAUUCUUGGCCCAAAUUAAGUUCAAAAUUUUUCUGCCACACCAAAAAUUUGUCUCAAGUAAUAAAAAGUUGUUGGAACUAUAUAAGAGCUAUGCCUUGAGCAAAAGCUCCAAACUUCCUUUCUUUCCAUCCAAUAAUAAAGUAGGCAUUCCAAUUGCCAAGAUUCAUUGUGAUCUCUAGGGUCCAAAUCUCAUUUAUUAUGUUGAUGUGCAAGUCUAAUUACCUUAUGAGUUAACAAAAUAAGAAUAUUUUUAAAGCUCAAUUGAAGAAGUUGGUUCAUGUCACUAUCCUCUAAACAAGAAGUCAAAAGAAGAAAUUAUGGAAAUCAACAUUUUCAACAACCAUAUAUUUUCUUGGGAAACUUCAUUGAAAAACUAUACCUAUUUGACUAGUAAGAUGAACUGAAAAUAAUUUCAUGUCCUUCCUCUUUUGAAUGACCCCAAUUCUAUACCUAUCUGUCUCCCCCAAAAUGCAUUCCAAUUUCUUUCUACCAUGUUCUACUUUGUUGAUGAUCAUAAUAGUCCAUGUUCCUAGUGCUUGGUGUCAAAAUUAUGACCAAUAUAUCAACUGCGGCAAGACUGUUGUAGUGAGCUAAUAUGUCAAAUAUUGGUUAUCCUUUCUGGGGCGGGAGCAGGCCAACGUACUGCAGCCACCCAGGGCUUGAUCUAAAUUGUGAUGGCUACACCCCGGAGUUCAGAAUGAUGGGCGUGAGUUACCGGGUCCUUGAUAUCAAUAAUUCGUUCAAUACUCUCACAGUUGCUAGGGUGGAUUACUGGAACAGUACUUGUCCCAUUGAGUAUCUUAACACCACUCUGAAUCGCACCCUCUUCAAUUAUAACACAACAUAUCCAAACCUUUGUACUAUGGUUGCCCUGCAAGCAAUCUUUCCACUUCUAGCCAAUUUAUUUGAAGUUGCACAAGUGGUGGUAGGGUCGUUGGUUACUAUGUGACUAGGGACCUCAGCAAUAUGUACAACUGUUUUUUAUAUAUUCGUUUGAUUGAUUUCAUUAUUAUUAUUAUUAUUUUAAUUGUAUGAUUUCUAAUUUAAAAUUUUUAUUUUUGCAUGAGGCUUUGGUGGCUAUGCAUAUAUGCAAUGAUUUGGCAAUAUUGAUUUUUUUUUUUUAAUAAGGGAAGGUGAGGUUGCACUACAAGAAUGAAAAUGGAUCAAAACCAAAGUGUGUCCAUAGGGAGUGAAGAUAAAUGCUAUAGAUGCAGCCAUAUGCAAGAGUAUGACUAUAAAUUUUGACUGCAACUUAAUUUGGACCACAACAAAAGGUGCAUAGUCACGACUAAGGGGGCUGCUACUAUAAGGUGGGUUAUGGUUGGGGCCUUUGCUUGGCUGCUACCAUAAGGUGAAACAUGGAUAGGGCCUUUUUUUGGCCGCUACUAUAGGCCCUAAAGUUGAUGGUGCUUUCUCUUGGCCUCUACUAUAGGUCUUGCUAUGGAUAUGAGAACUGCUAAAACUUGGUGAGAAAAAUGAAAGAUGAAUUGAUUGAUAUCCAAUACACCUGGAGGCUAAAUUAUCAUCACAUGUUAUGAUUAAAAAAAAAAAAAAAAGGAAGUUAGAUGUAGUAAUAGAGAAAUUUUUAGAUGUUCCCAAGGAACAAAACAGUUCAGAAUUGGGUAUCAGCACUCCACACACAUCAAUGAUCAUGUACACUGUAAUAAGAUGGUCAUAUUGUUGCCCACAUCGGAAGAACAACAACUAUUUCUAAGAUUCCUUGUUUUAGUCUAAUCAAAAGCUUCUCCCACGAUGAUCAACCAGUCCUCAUUCCUUGUUGCUUCUUCAAAAGGCUUUUGCAUCUAAACCUUGCCAAAAGGCCUUGUAACAACAUUUACAAAGUAUUUUUACUUAAGCCUGCAUGUAUCAGGAUAAUAAACUAUGUACACCAUGGUUUGUAAUCAACAGAAGCCAUAAUGCAAUAAGUUAAAGAACUGACAUAGAACAAAAUUUACAAGAAUUGAUAGAAGUUCCAAAAUUUUAUAGAUAACCAGGGAAACUUUUUCAUAAAUAAGAUUAUGGGAGAAUACAAAUUAAGCAAUUAAAGGGCAUACCUAGGCUGCAAAAGAGAAGCCACUGGGCAGCCGUGUACAAGUAAGAUCACUAAGAUAUCCAUGUAACUCACAUCCAAUGUCCAUCAAAACAGGGUCCCCAUCUUUGACCUAUAUAUAUAAAUUAUUUAAUUGUUUAUAAAAAUGGAUCCUCUGUAAUAAAUGUAAUUACAGAUGAAAAAAGUGUAUCAACAUACAAUACAAAUGAACUUACCUUCUGAUCAUUUCAAGAAAUAGGCAUUCUUGAUCGUUUUGCCGCAAACUUCUGCAUUCCUGAUCAUUCUGUCACAAAGUUCUACAUUCCUGAUCCAAAGUCAACUACGUCAACAAACUAUUUAUUGGUCAUCCUGACAAUGCAGUACUCUUACUAUAAUUAAACAAACACUUCCUAGAACAAUGAAUAUAAAUCUAUUAUAAAUCUGUUAUAUACUCAUUGAAAUUCCCUGAUUUUUUCACAUAAGUUUCUUAUACACAAUAUUGAUAUCCAUGCUAGCUCAUAACCUUUCAAUAUUUAUCAUUGAAAUUCAACAGUACCUAUUUCCGGGAUGCAGUGAUUUAAGCAUUAACUGAAAAUACGUCAAUGAUACAAGUAGGAACACUCCUUUAUGACAUGCAACUGCAAGUACCCUAAGGUCAUAUUAGCCUAAGCAAGAAGUGUCAUCAAGUAUUAGACAGCUGAAAACUAAUCCAAGAAAAAAAAAUUAUAUAUAUCUUAGUCUAAUAGAUUAUAAAUUUAGAAAAAUUAUUACAUACUAUAGGGAAAGAAAAAAAUACAGCAGGGAAAAAAAAAAGGACAAAAAAAAAAAGGAGCAGAUUACAAACAAGAGCGUUAUGGAGGUGCAGGCGGAGAAAAGACCCCCUCCAGCAGGUACUACCCUCUAUUUAAAUUUUGAUGGUUAAGGACGAUUAUAACCUAGGAUAGCUAAUGGUUGGUGACAAAAUGCUGGGGGAAAACCAAAUUUUAGGGUUGACUAUAGGAAUCUUAUUUGCUAUUCUGUUUUAUGUAUCAAGGUUCAUAGUAAAUCAUAUUAAGAUGCAAAUUUGGAGAAAAACAAACACAAACUUAUACAAAAGGCACCAUAUGAAAUCAGAAAUUUACUUAAUUGCAUCAAGCAAAGAAAUGCAAUUGUGAAGAAGCAGUCUGUCCACUUCUCUCUUGGACUCAACUUCAUCUUUCACUGCUACUCUCAAAAUCCCAAUCACCAGUCCAACACAAGAAAUGAAUCAGCGACUGGCUUACAGUAGAACUCAAGUAAUUACAAUAUCAAUCUUCCAGUAUCAUCUGCACACAAUAGCCAAAAUAUUCAAUCAUAAAAUUUUGAUUCAACAAAACAUCUCUAUCAAAAUCCCAUCAACAUAGCCUAUACGUAUUAAUCUUGUUAAUAAGAAUCUUUUAAUGAAUAUUAGUUGAGUAUUAUAUUUUAAUACUUUUAAUGAAUUAAAGUUUACAAACAUUUACUUUUCAUUUGGAAGAACCCACCAAUGAAAUUUUUUUUACUAUAAAACAUUUUUCUUCCAUAGUCCAUCCAUAAAACAUUUUUCUUUUAUAGUCCAUCCAAACAAGAAAUAACUGGAAAUAUGAAACCAGCACUAACAUCGGCAGACAAUAAAAUUUUUGAAAACUUAAAUAUAAAAAGUAGUUUUUUCGGCUUAUCCUUUGAGUGUUUUAUAUAUUAUACAUAAUGUAAAAAUUUUCAAAAUAUCAUCCAUAUUUUCAAUUAUAGCUUAAAAUAAUAUUAAAAAAUAAUUAAAUUUACUUUUAAUUUGUCCUAAGAAAUAAUAUAUUUUAUAAUAAAUUUUUAAGAAACUGUUUUUCAUUGCAUGUGUUUUCUAAGUUAGAAAAAUGUUUUCAUGAAUUGUUUUAAAACAUGGCCUAAACUUUCCAUAUUUCUUUGCUUCCUAUGAAUUAAGCAUGUAUCUGCAAAUUCUGAAGAGAUGGUUAAUCACUUUUACUAGGCAAAUUGUCUUUUAGAUCCUAAAAAAUUUGGAAAAAAAUGCAACAAAAAAUAGAAGGAAAAGUAAAUUAUUUUUAUAUACUACUUCAUAUUCAUUUCAAUAAUUUUAAUCCUAUAUAUAAAGACUAAAUAAUUAAAAAAUAUUUAAUUUUUUAAUGAAUUUUAAUUAUAUUUUAUUUUGUAUAUUCUUGAUAAUUAAAAUCAAACAUAGAAAGUUAUUUUUUUUAAAAUUUUUAUUUUCUUCUCUUAACAUAACCUUAAAAGUAAGACAAGUAUUACAUGGGCUUGGACAAGAAUUUAUGGCUACGUUUAGUUCCUAGAAAACCCCAAAGAAAUGAAAAACAUACUAAUGAAAAUGAUUUUUUCAUGUUUAGUUUAACUAGGAAAAAUAUGAAAGAAAAAUUAUUUUCUCAUGCUUAGUUUAACUAGGAAAAAUAUGUAAGAAAAUACUGAAGUUGUGACAAUGCUAAACAAAGCUAAUUUGAAUAAAAAUAGUGGACACAAUUUUAUUAACAAACAAAAUUAUAUUUAUUAGAACCAUCCAACCCAACCUGUUCCAUUGUAAAGGUGGACACAAUCCACAUCAUGUUAAAUUAUAUUCCUAUGUUGCACUCUCAAGAGGAAAAAAAAAAGAAUCAAAUUUCUCUCAUCAAAUAUCGGCGUCUCUAGGAUCCCAGGGUUCACUGUCUCAACCUCAAAAUGACUAGAAGAAUCACCCCCAUCUAAACAACCGUUACAGCUCCUAUGCUGAGCUUCCUGCUAACCUUCAGACAAAGCUCUAAUUCAGCUUUGUUAGCAGAACUACUUCCAACAAGCAUAAAGAGUGAAAUAACAUUGAAUUGUACAACACUCUGAUCUGGCAUCCUGCUAUAUCAUAUUAAAUAAUUUUCAUGGAACCUCCUUGAACUUCUAGACAUAGAAGCCAGCAGGAAGCAAAAUAGAUCACUCUCUUGCAUAGACCCUUCCUCUUAAAUACUCUCUCUCACUCUCUCCCUCCCCUCUCCUCUCACUUUCUAAACCAACCUGAAUGAGGUCACACCAACCAUGUCCCUUUAGAAUUUACUUUCAUCGUCUCUCUCCAAGGCAGUGAAUGUGGUCAUCAUCAUCCUCCUUCCUCUUACAGUGUACACAGAGCUUGGAACAGAGCUUUGAAAAGCCUUCUUGUGGGUUCCAUUAGUAUUCCCCUUUCUACGCACAACUAACCAAGAGAAACUUUAGUAAGGGGCUUUAGCCUUCCAAACAGAGCUUGGAAGAAAAACUUGGGAGAGAGCAAACAACUACCACUCAACAUACCAAAUCUUCUAAACCUCUGAAGUCAAGGAGAGAUAAAAAUUCCUUGAGGAUCUGAAGAAGGGAAGCAAGUUCAUCAGCCCCCAAUUAUUGAGUUGGAAAUAAAUAUCCCAGGAAAAGAAAAGGACAUAAUUGAGAAAGAAAAUGGAAACUCGUUUGAGGGUAGAAAUUCAGGACUUCUCCACACAGACUCUGGAUCAUCUCGGACAAUGAAUCUGGUGUGGAAAUGAAACUCUUGAAAUCCUAACAGAUGGCUUCCAACAUCCCUCAUUCCCUCCUUUUUCAUUGUUAUAAGGGAUAGAACUAGAACUCCCCUGUCACAUACCGAUCCCUUGCCAGUUAAGACAGGUCUGAAGGGCUUUUUCAAGGUCUAGAGUUAGUUUACCUCAUUGCAGGAAUAACACCUCCCAGUAUUAGAAUCAAGUAAGAGAAUGCAGUAGAUUUUCACCAUAAAAUAAAAUAAAAAAACAUGUCAAAUAAAUUCCAGAUGAAAAAAAAAAAAAUUUCAAUAAUUUUUUUUCAUCUAACCAAAACAUAGAAUGGUUAAGGAAAUACCUAUUGAAGGUGAACGUAAUCUGAGCAGCAAUCAAGGCCCCAGAAAUAACUCCUGCAACAGAUUGUUAUAGAAAAUCAAAUUUCAUUUUUCACUAGAUAUUAAAAAUUUCGGGAAAGAGGUUUGGGGGAAAAGACUUAGUUCGUAAGGUUAUUCAUUACUGAUCUCCGACAUGCAAUUCUGAUCUGAGUGUGGCAAAGAGUUCGGUGAGCGAGCUGGUCGUUGAUCACCAGCAAUCUAGUUGGAGACUCAAUUCCUAGGGUUUUAUGGCUUUGGGAGCAGAGUUCAACGACCAUUACCAGCAACGAUUAUCAACAUUGAGGGCUUAGAAGAGUGAAUCAAAGAAAAAUGUUGUUCAAAGAUUCUCACUAGUGGGUUCUCGGUGGUCCAAAGUGAGGAUCGAAAUGGCUCUCAGUAGGUUCUUACCAGUCGAAAGAGGCAGUGGUUGAUAUGGUGGGUAUAUGGGUGCGGGCUCUAUUGGGCCAUAUAUGGUAGCGGUCCAUUCCUUCUCCCAGCUAUAAUACCUACUAUAGCAGCAGUCCAUUUCUUCUCUCAGCUAUAAGAGAUUUUGUGGCAGCACUUAUUCCCUCCCCCAACUAUAAUGUUGCUUUGAUAGUGGAUUUUGUUGGCCCCAACUAAAACCGCGGUGUCUCCAUUUUCUUGUAGUGUUAUGACUGAUGGUCUCCAAAAAGCCCGCGGCCGCGGCCCGCUUUAGGCCCGGCCCGGCCCAAGCCCUUCCCGAGCCCGUUUUAUGGGCGGGCCGGGCCGCGGGCCUAAAUUUAGGCCCGCUCUUAGGCCCGCCCCUUUAAAAAAAAAACUACAAAAAUAAAAAGUAUUAAAAAAAAUAUUCAUUUCAAAAUUUUAUUCAUUGAAUGUAUAAUUACAUUUAAAAAUGUGGGAAAAAUUUACAUCACUACAAAAUAAAUACAUCCCAACUAGGUUGACACCUUUUUAUUUGUUAAUCAUCUGUAUUUUUCAACCACAAAAAAUAAAAAUAAAAAUAUAAUAUACAUUUAGUCAUUAUUUUCUGGCGGUAAUGGCGAACUAUCAUGCAUCCAUGAAGAUCUUGAUAAUUUUAAAGAUUCCAUAUCGGCAAGCAUCUCUGUUUCUCGAAUGGAAUCGUACAUCCUUUUAUCUGCUAUUUCCCAAUCUUUCACACAUAUCCCUGCUUCAAUAACAUCUGGCGCUAAGUUGCAUCGUUUUUUACUAACUACUCUUCCACCUGCACUAAAAGCAGCUUCUGAUGCAACUGUACUCACAAGAACUGUUAGUACAUCACGAGUAAUUAUAGAAAGCACAGGAUAUUUGUGUUGAUGUGAUUUCCACCAUAUUAAAAUAUCAAAAUCUUCUUGAUCUUCAAAUGAAAUUAUAUCAGUAUUAAGAUAUUUAUCUAAAUCAGAUGUAUUAUUUGGAGAACUAUUUAUUGUCUUUUUUCGACUUUUCAACAUUUCUAGAGCUCCUUUAUAAAAAGAUGAGGAGUUUGUAGAUGUAGGUGGUAAUUUAAUACUAUUAAUAUUAUUACCAUAUUUUUCUUUAUAAUAGUUAUAUAAAUUAUGUAAUAAUGAAUUUAUUUCAUUUUUAAUUUCUUCAAUUUUUAUUUGGUCAUUAAAAUAAAUAAUUGUUAACCAUUCAUCCAAAGCUUCAAAUUUCAAUCUAGGGUCCACAAUUAAAGCAAUAUAAAAAAUUAAAGGUAUUUCCCCCCAAUAUUUUCUAAAUUUUUCUAUCAUUGCAAAUAUUGUAUCAUUAAAUAUUUCAAAACUUAAAUAUUUUUGAAGUACAAUAAAAAUAUUAGUUAUUUGCAUAAUAACUCGAUUUGAAGUUGGAUAAUAUACACCACAAAAAAUGUUUGUUGAAGUAUCAAAAAUUUCAAAAAGAUCUGCAAUAUGCCAAUCAUAAUCACUUAAUGCAUAAAUAUCUGCUUCACAAUCAUUGUUAAGUAAUUGUAUUUCAUAUAAUUCGACUACUUUUCUAUAUUUUGUAAUAUUUUGUAAAAGUUUAUAUGUGGAAUUCCAUCUAAUGGUCAUAUCCAAAUUUAUAUUUUUUCUUUUCAUAUUUAACAUUUUGCAACAAUCAAAAAUANUCAUGUUUUGCUUGAGAACUAUUAAUACUAUAUGCAUGCCUCUAUUUUUUCCAUGUAUUAUCAACAUUUUUUAAUCCAUCCUUAACAAUUAAAUUUAAAANNNNNNNNNNNNNNNNNNNNNNNNNNNNNNNNNNNNNNNNNNNNNNNNNNNNNNNNNNNNNNNNNNNNNNNNNNNNNNNNNNNNNNNNNNNNNNNNNNNNUAAAAAUAUUAGUUAUUUGCAUAAUAACUCGAUUUGAAGUUGGAUAAUAUACACCACAAAAAAUGUUUGUUGAAGUAUCAAAAAUUUCAAAAAGAUCUCUUAAAAGAUCUGCAAUAUGCCAAUCAUAAUCACUUAAUGCAUAAAUAUCUGCUUCACAAUCAUUGUUAAGUAAUUGUAUUUCAUAUAAUUUGACUACUUUUCUAUAUUUUGUAAUAUUUUGUAAAAGUUUAUAUGUGGAAUUCCAUCUAAUGGCCAUAUCCAAAUUUAUAUUUUUUCUUUUCAUAUUUAACAUUUUGCAACAAUCAAAAAAUAAUUCAUGUUUUGCUUGAGAACUAUUAAUACUAUAUGCAAUGCCUCUAAUUUUUUCCAAUGUAUCAUCAACAUUUUUUAAUCCAUCCUUUACAAUUAAAUUUAAAAUAUGUGCACAACAACGCACAUGAAAUAUUUUAGCAUGAUCUUCUUUUACUUGCCAAUAUCGUUUUAGUCUAUGUAUUGCUGUAUCAUUAUUAGCAGCAUUAUCUAAUGUUAUUGUCAAUAUUUUAUCACGAAUGCCUAAAUCUAUAAUUUCAUCAUUUAUUAAAGAUGCUAUAUUUUUACCACUAUGUGGAGCAUUUAUUAAUUUAAAUUAAAUUAUUCUUUUAUUUAAUUUCCAUUCAUUAUCAAUGUAGUGAGCAGUUAUACAUAAAAAACCAGUGUGAGUUAAAGAUGUCCAAAUAUCAGAUGUUAAACAAAUAUUUCCUUCAAAAAUUGCAAAAAAAAUUUUUAAAAUUUCUUUUUGUGUAUAAAAUUUUUUCAUAAUAUCUCUUUUAACUGUAUUUCCAGACCAACCUUUAAAUUGAGGAUUAAUACCUCGUUGAAUUGUUCCUACAAAAUCAUGAGUUUCCAUCAUGUUGAAAGGUUGUUCUGCUCUUAUUAUAUAAUCAAUCAUUUCUUCACGACAGUUAGAUUCAUCAUAAGAAAAUGUUUUUAAAUUUCCACUUUCAUUUUUACCUAAUUGCAUAUAAUUUCUAAUAUCUACAUUAUUUUUAGUUUUGCAAUUUUCGUGAUGUCUUUUUAAAUGACUUGUGCCUGCAUUUGAGCCACCAGUAAGAAAUUUAUUACAAAUUUUACAUUUUGCUUUGAUUUCUUUUUUAUUAUUUUCUAAAAUUAUUUCUAUUCUAUCAAAAAAAUUCCAUAUAUUUGAAGUAAAUUUUUUGUUUGAUGAUAUUUCAUCACAUGGACUAGAUGAAGAAGCACUUGUCAUAUUAUAAUUAUUGAUAAAAUAUUAUGCCAAAAAUAAUAAAGUAAUAAAUAUAAAAAAAAAUAUAACAAAAAAAUAAGGUAGUAGGGGUGAAGUAUGUUACUCAAUUAGAGAACCGAUGCAGAAAUUCCUAGCAAAUUUGAACUCUUGGAGCCACCAAUGCUUGUUUUGUACCACCAACAAUAUUGUAUAAUUUGAGGGAAAAAUAAAAGAAUUUGAAAUAUUGUAGAAUGUGAGAGAAAUAGAGAGAAUUUGAUGAAAAAAUGAAAAGGAAGAACAUGUAUUUAUAGGAAGGUUUUUUUUAAAAAAAAAAAAAAAAAAAAAAAAAUUGGCCAUGUGACCGUUGGAGGCUUAGCCCCAACGGUCACAUGACUCACAUGGGCAGCUGGCUGGAGCUCCAACGGUCACAUGACCGUUGGAGCCUUUAUUUUUUUUUAAAAAAAAUAAUAUACUUUAUUUUUAUAUAUAUAUAAUUAACUCAAUUAUUAAGCACAAAAGGAAUGUAGCUCAAUUGGUUAGAGCCUUGAUAUGAAAACAUGAGGGGAGGGGUUCGAAUCCCCCCCUCUCCCUUCCUUUCUUUAAAAGCCAUUUUGGCUUAUUUAAAAAAGCCCACGGCCCGGCCCGGCCAGCCCGCUCCCUAGCCCGCCAGCCCGCUAGCCCGCGGGCUCAUAGGCCGGGCCGCGGGCCUAACAUUUUUCCGUGGCCCGGCCUGGCCCAGCACGAGCUGGGCCGCGGGCCUCCUAUUUACGGCCCGGCCCGGCCUGGCCCGCCCGUUGGAGACCCUUAGUUAUGACAUUCAUGUCAUUAGAAAGUUCCGAUUGGAGUGAGAUUCUUGUGAAGACUGCUACCACCUUUUUUUUUUGGGAAGGAGAAGAUUCUUUUAGGGAGUCCAUAACUGCAUGUCCAGAAAAAAGAAAAAAAAAAGAGAAAAAGGGAAGAUGAUAGUGGGAUAUUAUUUUUUGGGAAAGGAUAUUCAUGCAUGAGGGAGUUUUAAGGAGAAAAGACUUUCUUUAGGAGUCCACAGGCUGCCACUUAUCAUAGGAGGAUUAGGAAGACAUCUUUGAAAGUUUAAAAAAGGCUAGGAUUCUUAAGAAAAAGAGGACUUUUAGUCUAUGAUAAGAGAGGUCCUUAUUGUCAAAUGAUCAUGUGUUUCUCUCCUACCAAAUUAUCCAAAAAAGGCAUAAAGGAGUAGCUCCCUAAAGUUUUUUCCACUUUUUUCUCGUAAAAGAGUCAUUCCAACCUAACAAAGUGUUUUUGAUGGAGGAGUGAAUCACCUUUGAGAUACAAAAAGAGAGAACAAAAGCUACCACAACUACCUCGCCUUGCUACAAUGCAGAAGAAUGUGAUAAAUUGAAUCUUCAUGAGUGUGAUGAAGAAAACAUCUAUUGGCCAAAGACCCACAUCUUUGUUGUAAUUAAUCAAGAGUCAAAGCUUUUCCCUAGGUCGCCUCGCAAGCAAAGAAGCUCAACUUAGGUGGAAUCCAAGCAUUCCACAUAAUAACAUAUGGGAACGAUUCAAAUCUCCCUUCUGCUAGGCUAGAGUAAAGUGACCCUAAUAGAGAAAGAUCCACUCUUUGCCUCUAACCAACACACCUUGUCUUCUGCUGCCUUAACUACCCCCUUAACAAGUAGUUUUGAAAAGAAGUGCUUUGCAUCCUCAAUCUCCCAGUUGUUUGGAUGCCUAGAGAAUCUAUGAGUCCACACACCUCCAC